UUAAAAACGAAGAGCGUUGCUUUGGGUAGAAUGUAAUAAAGCUGAUCCGUGUGUUCGUCGUGGCAACAUUAAUAAACCGUGUAGAUGGAGAACGUCGAGUAGAACCGUUGUCCACCGUAUUCAUUCGGUCGGACGCAUUUCGCCAUUCUGGAUGUGGUGUUUAAUCUCGAAAAAACGAGCAAAAAAGUUCGUGUGACGUGUCAACCAGCUGGCAACAAGGGCAUGACGAUGUGCAGGCAGGCAGAGGCCGGCCAGACGACGAUGUGCGGUGCCUGAAGGCGAGGUGCGUUUCGGAGUGCGAAAUGGGGAGAAGUGGAUUAUCGGAAGUGAAGCUUCACCCGGAAGGAAAUGUUCUAUAAAAUCGAUGCCGCUCGUGCGGUUUGGUCAGACUGUCUGCACCGUUGCCGAACGUGCAACUUACACCCGGCGAUCUGCUAUUGUUACACUUGCCACCUACUACUACUACAGCUUCAUCCCCAACCAAAACAAAAGGUGAGUGUUGAACUGGGACGGAAAACUUCUUCCUAACCUUUUUGGCCAGCUCAUGUAAGUAACUGAUUCUAAAUGUCUACCUCGUUCGAUUAUGGGGAACGUUCGUUUCGAAUUGAUUCAGUGCAGAGAAACCUUUCCAACAAUGCGAACGACGGUUCACAUUUCUCGAGGCUUUCCCCCCUUCAUAGCAAAGAGGGUAACGUCUGAUCAAACUCUGUGCCGAGCCUCUCUGCCUCUCUCUCUUUGUCCCUCUUCCCGUUGAAUGAAAGGACACUCGUUAGAGCAGGGAAUCAUCACCCGCCCUACAAUUGAUAUUCGCCGCACGUGGACAUUCGCCUUCAUUAGGCUUCAUUGGCGAGAAUGAACUCUGCAGCACUUCCCUGUUUUCACCCCGUUUUUCACGCUGCUUUUCAAAUGACAGUUGAUACCACCAAGCGGGGCCGACGCUGGAGCGACAAAUCAGUGUUGUUUCGGUGCAACCCCACAACACGAAGGGAGGAGAAAAUAGCGAAGGAGCCAAAAAAACAUGUCUCAAAUUCACAGUUUUGUACAAACGGGAGGGUAAAAGAAAGAAUUUGAAACUAUGCCGAAAGUGAAUU